GCNNNNCUACUNNNCACCAACUGACGCUGAGGCUCGAAAGCAUGGGUAGCAAACAGGAUUAGAUACCCUGGUAGUCCAUGCCGUAAACGAUGAUUACUAGGUGUUGGGGGAUUGACCCCCUCAGUGCCGCAGUUAACACAAUAAGUAAUCCACCUGGGGAGUACGACCGCAAGGUUGAAACUCAAAGGAAUUGACGGGGGCCCGCACAAGCAGUGGAGUAUGUGGUUUAAUUCGAAGCAACGCGAAGAACCUUACCAGGUCUUGACAUCCGAUGCAUAGCACAGAGAUGUGUGAAAUCCUUCGGGACAUCGAGACAGGUGGUGCAUGGUUGUCGUCAGCUCGUGUCGUGAGAUGUUGGGUUAAGUCCCGCAACGAGCGCAACCCUUAUUGCCAGUUACUACGUUAAGAGGACUCUGGCGAGACUGCCGUUGACAAAACGGAGGAAGGUGGGGAUGACGUCAAAUCAUCAUGCCCUUUAUGACCUGGGCUACACACGUACUACAAUGGCGUUAAACAAAGAGAAGCAAGACCGCGAGGUGGAGCAAAACUCAAAAACAACGUCUCAGUUCAGAUUGCAGGCUGCAACUCGCCUGCAUGAAGUCGGAAUUGCUAGUAAUCGCGGAUCAGCAUGCCGCGGUGAAUACGUUCCCGGGCCUUGUACACACCGCCCGUCACACCAUGAGAGCCGGGGGGACCCGAAGUCGAUAGUCUAACCGUAA
rnacentral:rRNA from 1 species